rnacentral:rRNA from 1 species
CCUACGGGUGGCAGCAGUGGGGAAUAUUGCACAAUGGGGGAAACCCUGAAGCAGCGACACCGCGUGAGUGAAGAAGUAAUUCAUUAUGUAAAGCUCUAUCAGCAGGGAAGAAAAUGACGGUACCUGAGUAAGAAGCCCCGGCUAACUACGUGCCAGCAGCCGCGGUAAUACGUUGGGGGCCAGCGUUAUCCGGAUUUACUGGGUGUAAAGGGGGCGUAGACGGCAGUGCAAGUCUGGAGGGAAAGGCGGGGGCUCAACCCCCGGACUGCCCUGGAAACUGUACGGCUGGAGUGCAGGAGAGGUAAGUGGAAUUCCUAGUGUAGCGGUGAAAUGCGUAGAUAUUAGGAGGAACACCAGUGGCGAAGGCGGCUUACUGGACUGUAACUGACGUUGAGGCUCGAAAGCGUGGGGAGCAAACAGGAUUAGAUACCCCGGUAGUC